UCCAGUUGAUCCUGCUGGCGGCUACGGCUAUCUGGCUUGCAGUUAGACAUGCAAGUUUUUUCGCAAGAAAGGCGAACUGCUCAGUAACACAUAGCUAACUUGACCUUAGGUCAAGGAUAACCUCGGGAAACUGAGGCUAAUACUUGAUAGAAGAUUAUUUCUGGAAUGAUUUUUCUUUGAAAUUCGAGCCUAAGGAUAGGGCUGUGGCUGAUUAGGUUGUUGGCGGGGUAAAUGCCCACCAAGCCGAUGAUCAGUAAGGGUUCUUAGCGGAAGGGCCCUGAGAAGGAAUCUGAGACACUAUUCCUAGCCUUACGGGGUGCAGCAGUUAGGGAACUUUUACAAUGCACGAAAGUGUGAUAAAGCGAGCCAGAGUGUUUAUCAUUUUAUGAUAAACUUUUUUUCUGUUGUAAAAAGACAGAAGAAUAAGGACUGGGCAAGACCGGUGCCAGCCGCCGCGGUAAUACCGGCGGUCCAAGUCGUAGCCACAAUUAUUGGGUCUAAAACAUCCGUAGCUUGUUUAAUAAGUUUCUUGUGAAAUCCUAUCUCUUAAGGAUAGGGCGUGCAAGAAAUACUGUUAGGCUAGAGACCGGAAGAAGUGAAAAGUACAGUUGAGGUAGUGGUAAAAUAUUUUAAUCUUAAUUGGACUAACAAUAGCGAAGGCAUUUCACUAGUACGGAUCUGACAGUGAGGGAUGAAGGCUAGGGUCGCAAAACGGAUUAGAUACCCGUGUAGUCCUAGCAGUAAACACUGCUCACUAAACAUUAGGAUCUCUUCGAGAGAUUUUAGUGCUGUAGCGAAGGCGAAGAGCGAGCUACCUGGGAAGUAUAGUCGCAAGACCGAAACUUAAAGGAAUUGGCGGGGGAGUACUACAACAGGUGACGCGUGCGGUUUAAUUAGAUUUUACACCGUGAAUCUCACCAGGAUCGAUAGCAGAAUGAAGGUCAGUCUAAAGGGCUUACCUGACACGCUAAGAGGAGUUGCAUGGCCGACGUCAGCCUGUGUCGUGAGAUGACCUGUUAAAUCAGGUAACAGGCGAGACCCAUGUGUAUAGUUACUACGUAAAGAGCACACUAUACAGACUGCCUUGGUAACAAGGAGGAAGGUGUGGGCUACGUUAGGUGAGUACAGCCUGAAUACCCUGGGCUACACGCGCGCGGCAAUGUUAGAUACAAUUAGAUGCGACUCUGAAAAGAGAAGCAAAUCUCAUAAAGUCUAGCCUAGUUCAGAUUGAAGUUUGUAACUUAGCUUCAUGACGAUGGAAUCUGUAGUAAUCGUUCGUUAUCAGCGAACGGUGAAUAUGUCCCUGCUCCUUGCACACACCGCCCGUCAAACCAACCGAGUUAUGUUCUGGUGAGGUCCUUCGGGAACGAACCUUAGCAUGACAAGGCAGGUUAAGUCGACACAAGGUA
rnacentral:rRNA from 1 species